GACGCUGGGAGGAGCUGUGCCCUACGGGAACACCAGAGGACUCAAGGGGAUGGGGCUCAAAGGUCUUCUAGAGCGCGAUGUCCGCAGUUUCGGGCUCACCUGACGCUCAAGGCCCGCUCGGUGCCCCCUCUCCGACCCCUAGUCUCCUGCUCGCUCGCCCGCUUCAGCCCGCUUCCGGCCAGCCCCCGCCCGAUGUCCCCUCAGGCUGAGGGCGAGUCACCGAGAGAAAGCCGAGCAGAACUUUCGAAGAAGGCCUCCGCCAGUGUGUCUGUCUCUCCCCUCCUCAAGGAAAGUUGCUUUGAAAUGAAUCCAUAAUAAAUCAUAUACUUUGAACAACAAUGCCAACCAAUCAGAGCUUCCAGGGACUAAGCCACUACCCAAAGACUAUACAUGGACUGACCUUGGGCUCCAACUGCAUAGACACAGCCUCUCUACAUAGCCCAGGCAGUGCUAAAACUCAAGGCUGGCCUCAAACUCAUAGGGAUCUGGCUUCUUAGCUCAGCUGGUACAGUGCUUGCUGUACAAGUGUGAGGGCCCGAAUUCAAUCCUUAGCAUAAUGUAGAAAUGUGGGUGUGCAGGGGCUGGAGAAAUGGAUCAGCAGUUAGCAGCACUUGCUGCUUUUGCAGAGGACGUGGGUUCAAUUCCCAGCACCAACAUGGUAGUCUAUAAACUUCUGUAAUUCUAGUUCCAGAGGAUCUAAUGUCCUCUUUUGAUCUCUGUGGGCAUCACACAGGCCUGUGGUACACACACACACACAUACAUUCAGGCAAAAUACCCACAUACACAAAAUAAAAAUAAAUGUUUUUAAGUAAACAUUUUUAAAGACUUAAUUAUUUUAUGUAUGUGAGUACACUGUAG
ensembl:lncRNA